rnacentral:misc_RNA from 1 species
ACAUUAAUUAGUUGCGGUGUUUGGUGUUGCGUGUUCUUCUGAGCUGAAUGGCGUUUGAACUGGUACUUUUAGGGGCGCUGAUCUUCAUUUUCAUCGUCUCAUUCUGUGGAUUAGUGCAAAAAAUCAAACAGACUUACACCAGAGAGCGUCUUUUGGCAGCUCGACAAAUUGCAGAACGUCUGGCAAGACGGGCAGAACGACAAGCCCGACGAAGAUCCGUGGAUUUUACGGAUAUUUAUGUGAAUCCCUCAUUCAAUUCCCCGGCAAAUGGAGGGAUUUUUCCUGGCGCGCCUCCUCCUUACUCGCAACAUUAUACUGAACCACCGCCAAAAUACGAGGAAGCCAUCAAAGUGUGUGCGGCAAAUGUCCAAACAAGUCCUCAACAUGUGGAAACCCGUUCGAGUGAAACUCGGCCAGGUUCCGAACCGCCUCCAUAUACGAUCACUUUAACAACGCCAAUUGCGGCCACAUCAAUACGAAAUUAGUAGAAUUUAACUUUAUAACUGGUGCUCAAUGAAAGCUUCACAGAUUCUUAAGAUCUUAGUGGCAAGAGUAGAAUUAGGAAAGAGUAAAUUAAGGGCUUAAUUGAGGAAACUAGUAAUUAAAUUAAUUUGUUGGUUAAAUAAUUCGUAUUUAAAUACAUAUACUCAUUAAGGUAUUUCUUGAGGGAAAAGAGAGACCGGGAACUUUCGGCUGGUUCGAAUUUUUCUGGAUUAUGUUCAAUUGCAUUUUAUUUAAAAAAAUUAUAUUAACGUCUGCACCUAAA